rnacentral:rRNA from 1 species
CAAUAAGCGGAGGAAAAGAAACCAACAGGGAUUGCCUCAGUAACGGCGAGUGAAGCGGCAACAGCUCAAAUUUGAAAUCUGGCCCCCCCCCGGGGGGGCCCGAGUUGUACUUUGGAGAGGAUGCUUUGGGCGCGGCGCCUUCCGAGUUCCUUGGAACAGGACGCCAGAGAGGGUGAGAGCCCCGUACGGUUGGACGCCUAGCCCGUGCAAAGCUCCUUCGACGAGUCGAGUAGUUUGGGAAUGCUGCUCAAAAUGGGAGGUAAAUUUCUUCUAAAGCUAAAUACCGGCCAGAGACCGAUAGCGCACAAGUAGAGUGAUCGAAAGAUGAAAAGCACUUUGAAAAGAGGGUUAAACAGCACGUGAAAUUGUUGAAAGGGAAGCGCCUGUGGCCAGACGUGCGCCCCGCGGACCACCCGCCGCCUCGCGCGGCGGGGCACGCCGCGGCGGCGCAGGCCAGCAUCGGCUCUCCCAGGGGGACAAAGGUCGCGGGAACGUAGCUCCUCCGGGAGUGUUAUAGCCCGCGGCGUCAUGCCCUUGGGGGGGCCGAGG